AGCUCUUCUUUCCCCCUCUUUCACUCUUUGUCUCUACCCCCCUCUCUGUCUCUCACUCUUUCUCUCUAUCUAUCCCCCUCCUCUCUCUCUCUCUCUCUCUCUCUCUCUCUCUCACUCUUUCUCUCUAUCUCUCCUCAUUCUCUGUCUCACACUCUUUCUCUCUAUCUAUCCCCCUCCUCUCUCUCUCUCUUUCAAUCUUUCUCUCUAUCUCUCCCCCUCCUCUUUCUCUCUCUCUCUCUCUCUCUUUCUUUCUCUCUCUCUCACUCUUUCUCUCUUCUCUCUCUCUCUCUCACUCCUUCUCUCUAUCUUUCCCCCUCUUCUCUCUCUAUCACUCCUUCUCUCUAUAUCUCCCCCUCCUCUCUCUCUCCUCUCUCUCUCUCACUCCUUCUCUCUUCUCUCGCUCUCUGUCUCACUCCUUCUCUCUCUCUCUCUCUCUCACUCCUUCUCUCUAUCUCUCCCCCUCUUCUCUCUCUCUCACUCCUUCUCUCUCUCUCUCACACUCCGUCUCUCUAUCUCUCCCCUCUUCUCUCUCUAUCACUCCUUCUCUCUAUCUCUCCCCCUCCUCUCUCUCUCUCCUCUCUCUCUCACUCCUUCUCUCUCUCGCUCACACUCCGUCUCUCUAUCUCUCCCCCUCUUCUCUCUCUAUCACUCCUUCUCUCUAUCUCUCCCCCUCCUCUCUCUCUCUCUCCUCUCUCUCUCACUCCUUCUCUCUUCUCUCGCUCUCUCUCUCACUCCUUCUCUCUCUCUCUCUCACUCCUUCUCUCUAUCUCUCCCCCUCUUCUCUCUCUCUCACUCCUUCUCUCUCUCUCUCCCCCUCCUCUCUCUCUCUCUCCUCUCUCUCUCACUCCUUCUCUCUUCUCUCGCUCUCUCUCUCACUCCUUCUCUCUCUCUCUCUCACUCCUUCUCUCUAUCUCUCCCCCUCUUCUCUCUCUCUCACUCCUUCUCUCUAUCUCUCCCCCUCUUCUCUCUCUCUCUCACUCCUUCUCUCUCACUCCUUCUCUCUAUCUCUCCCCCUCUUCUCUCUCUCUCACUCCUUCUCUCUAUCUCUCCCCCUCCUCUCUCUCUCUCUCCUCUCUCUCUCACUCCUUCUCUCCUCUCUCUCUCACUCCUUCUCUCUCUCUCUCUCACUCCUUCUCUCUCUCUCUCUCACUCCUUCUCUCUAUCUCUCCCCCUCUUCUCUCUCUCUCACUCCUUCUCUCUCUCUCUCUCACUCCUUCUCUCUAUCCCUUCCCCUCACUUUCGGUGUCUCUGCCCACCUCUCACAGGUUAGUGCUGAUGCAUAUUAACGCUGUGUGUGUGUGUGUGUGUGUGUGUGUGUGUGUGUGUGUGUGUGUCAUCCUCCGUUAG
rnacentral:lncRNA from 1 species